AGCCGGAGUUGAGCGAGGCCCGGGCUAUCCGGCGCCAGAGCAGGUCGCAGCUGGUGAAGCGCCGCAGCCAGCGGCACACCUGGGCCAGGCGGCCAAGGGCCCGCAUGUCCAGGGGCUCCAAUCUGAAGGGAAAGCUGAGAAAAACCUGUGAAAGUCUAGAUCUGUGCUAUCCAACAUGUGGCUAUUAAGUAUUUGAAGUAUGGCUAGUCCAAACAGUUUUGAUAUAAAUAAAAGCUGCUCCUCGGCGCUUGGGGUCAUAAACGCUAGCAAGCAGCCAUCUAAGAUGCAUCAAUUGGUCUCAACCCACCUGGACCAAAGGAGAAUGAAGAACACCAAGGACACAAGGUAAUUACAAGCCCAAGAGACAGAAAGGGCCACAUAAACCAGAGACUAUAUCAGCCUGAGACCAGAAGGGCUAGAUGGUGCCCCACUACAACUGAUGACUGCCCUGACAGGGAACACAACAGAGAACCCCUGAGGGAGCAGGAGAGCAGUGGGAUGUGGACCCCAAAUUCUUGUAAAAAGACCAGACUUAAUGGUCUGACUGAGACUAGAAGGACCCCGGUGGUCACGGCCCCCAGACCUUCCAUUGGCCCAGGACAGGAACCAUUCCCAAAGCCAGCUCUUUAGACAGGGAUUGGACUGGACAAUAGGAUAGCAAAAGAGGCUGGUGAAAAAUGAGCUUCUUGGAUCAAGUAGACACUUGAGACUAUGUUGGCAUCUCCUAUCCGGAGGGGAGAUGAGAGGGUGGAGGGGGUUAGAAGCUGGUGGAAUGGACACGAAAAGAGAGUAAAGGGAAGGAACAGGCUGUCUCAUUAGGGGGAGAACAAUUAGGAGUAUAUAGUAAGGUGUAUAAAAAUUUUUAUAUGAGAGACUGACUUGAUUGGUAAACUUUCACUUAAAGCACAAUAAAAAUUAAAAAAAUAAGAGCUGCUCCUAAGCAACUGAAGUAGUCCCUGUUCUUGUCUCAGUUACUUUUAAGAGUUAAUCAUUGUAGACCCCAUAAUCUUCUUGCAAAACUUUAUAGGAUUCUAGAAAAAAAAAUAUAUAUAUAUAUAUAUCUUGCAUAGCAACAUAUAACUAAAAUUCAGUAAUUCCUUCAUUUUGCUUCAGCUUCAUUUUAUUCUGUUACAUUUAAGUAACAAUGUAUGUAUAAUAUGAGUCUUUUUCUGUAAAUGUAUCUCUAUCUGUAUAUAUGCAGAGGGAGGUUUUGUGGAAUGAUGCUAAUAAUAGUUAUUUCUAGGUUAUAGAAUUUUUUAAUUUGUACUUUUCUGAAUUCCUUGAUCUGUUUUAAUGAAAAGCAUGUAUCUCCUUUACAAAAGCAAUAGAGUCUUUCAAAAAAGAAAAAAAAAGUUAUUUAUGAGUCCAAACACACACAAGAAAGUUGGAGAUUUGAAGCUCAGAUCAUUGCCAGUGUUUUUAACUAGCUGCCCAAGAGUCUUUAAACCUUAUUUGUUCUACUUAAAGUUGUUUAUCAUAUAAUAAUAAAAUAAAGGACAAGUUAGAGUAUUAGAAAGGAGAAGAAAUAAGAGGACUUACAGUGAAUGUUGUACCUAUGUUAACAUCUGAGCUUCUCAUAAAUAGAGGGAUAGAGCCCUAAAACAUUGUUUUCAGAAAUCAUCUAUCAGAUUGGUAGUUUAUAUUCUGAAAUCCUAUUAGAAACAUCACCAAGAUCUGCUCUGUUUUUAUAAGGAUCCACCUUCUUUGCCAUAUUCAAAGAUAAAAUAUUUGUGUUUCAUGUGCAGUAAUUUAAACCAAGUGCUGUUUACAAAUACUUCAUGCAGAAGAGAAAAGACUGGAAGGAAAUAUGACAAAAUGCUAGAAACGGUUGUUCAUGAGAGGUGGAAUUAUGGGGAGUACUUUCUGCUGCUGCUUUACACUUGUCUACAUUUUCUAAGUUCUCUGUGGUGCUGUUGAGCUGAUUUUGACUUGUAACGACCCCAUGUAACAGAGCAGAACUGCCCUGCCAGGUCUUUCUCCCACAGAGCUGCUGGUCUGUGCCUUCAGGCUUAGGAAAAAGCAGUUACCUCCUGGCAGCAUGAGGACACAAGAAGCCCCGGUUGCCAGCAGCAAACACAACCAUGGCCCAAGGCCCUCGGUUCCUGCUCUGAUUCUCUGAGAAACUCCUCAACUCCUCUGCUUUUGUCCCAACCCAGCAUCAGCUGCAGCAAGUCACACAGAAAACCUCCAUCUCCCACUUCCUCUGGCCAGGAACCUGCUGAAGUCCACUCAGCACCCAGGCAAUGGGUUUACAUUCCAAGUUGAGCAAACCUGGCCAGUUGGACAUGAAAUCGGCAAGGGUGGAAGCAUACACGUUUUCCAUUUUCAAAGCAGCCUAGUGGGAUUUUGUUUUUUUCUGACAGCAUAAGUCUACAUUGGCCAGACUUUCAAAGCUACAAAUUUCCAUGUCCCCAGUCGUCAUUAUAGAAAAAUUUCCUGGUUAGGUUGGCAUAUCUGGAGGUUUUGGGUGUGCAAGUGAGAAAUGUCUAACAAAUAGUUAAACCUGGGCUGUGGAACUAAUUAGCCUAAACAAGAUUCUCCAUAAUCCCCAUGCUGUACUAGUUACCCUCCUUAAUUCCUACCCCAAACAUAUAUUCAAAAAUAACUACUAUUUAUCAAGUACCCAGCAAGUACCAGGAACUGAAAUAAGUGCUUUAUAAAUAAAGCAUUGACUCAUUUUAUCUUCACAACUAUGCAAGGUGGGAAUUAUUUAUUGUUUCCUCUCUGAGGCACAGAUAGAUUCUGUAAUUUGCCUGAAGUCACCCAGUUAAUAAGUGACAUUUCUGGGGUUCCAAUCUCAAGCCCCAAUGCAACACCAUGAGUGAACCUCAAAAGCAUCAUGCUAAGUGAAAGAAGCCAGGCCAAAAAGAAUAGCUGCACUAUGAUUCCAUUUAUUUAAAAUCCUAGAAAAUACAAAAGCCUAUCAGUGGUGGCCUGGGAAUGGGGAGGAUGGACUACAAAGGGGUACAGAGAAACUUUUGGGGGUGAUGGAAAUGUUUGUAAUCUUCGUUGUGAUGAUUUCAUGGGUGCAUACAAAUGUCAAAACUGAUCAAAUUGUACACUUUAAAUACAUGCAGUUUACUGUACUUCGAUUAUACUUCAACAAAGUUGGGAAAAAAUAAAUGUUGUUCCUAA